UAUUGCUUGUGGAGGUCAGGAAGUAUGAAAGUGAAACUCUGUCUUCUCUUAUAAAACUGGAAGUAAAUGCAGAGUGCAGCUUAAUUGAAGUUACUGACUUCCCCCAGACAAGAUGAUGUAAGUAGGUGCAGCAGAAAUGCUAACUCACGGCUUGAAGUGGUGAUUGAGCACCUGGUGAGAAGGCAGGGCCAACCCAGGGGAGCUCAGGUGUAUGCAAUGCCGCUGAAUGGCUGUGAAGCAUGGAGCCAGGACUCCCUCUACCCAGACCUCAUUUAAGGGUUCCCAUAGCUCAUCAACUCUAGAACAGGAAUGGGAAGGGGAUGAGGAAAUGGCUUUAAUGGUUCUUUGACAAGUUAGUUGAGCAGUUCCCUGUUGUUCUGGAUCUUUCUUGGAAGCUUAGUAUUUGGGGGGAAAAAUGAUGUCAUUUAAGAAGAUAAUAGAAAGCACAGCAAAUCCAUUGAGCUGAGUUGCUGAGGUGUUUCGUGCUUGAAUCCAGCUGGAAGCCCUGGACUGUUAGGAUAUGCCAUUGGAAAAGAGGACUACUUGAGGUGCAUCUGGAUAGAUGGGCUUUAUCUGCACUCUUCCCUAUUUAUGCUUAUUAGAGAUGAAGUUGAAGUGCGGCACGGUUAAAUUAUGCAUAUAAAGAAGAGUCCACAAACAAGAAAACAUAAGCAAUGUGGGAAGGAACAGAACUGCAAAGAGAACGAGAGGAGCAAAACUGAACAGGAUGCCAAGCUGCAAAAGACAUUUCAACAGCACCUAAUUAAAACCGUUCACAUUUGCAACAGACAGAAGAAACCAUAGAUGCAGCAGCAGUGGCAAGGCUGAAAAUCCAGCGUGAUACCUUUGGUAGUAAGAAGAGCUGACGACCAUUUUUCUCAUAACCUCCUAUGUUUGCCACUGCUUUGCCUGGUUUCAGCUGUGUAGCAGAGCAGCACGAGCUUAAAAAUGGAAUAAUCAUGACAAAUGAGUCCUCAGCCAUCUUUCAAAGAGAACAAAUCAGAUUUUUCACUCGUGUGACAAAAACACAAGAGAUGAAAAAGCAAGAGGAAGAAGCUACGCCGCGCUCUGCUUGUCUCUGUCUAAGCAAAAUCACUUUAAUAAUUGGUGAACACGGUGUGAAAAAGAACAAAUAGCAUUUGAAAGGGAAGAGACUAGCGUGGCAUGUCUGAGAUGGAAAACAGGAAGGGUUUUUUUCCUUCUUGUGGAAGAGCCAUUGCUUUCAGAAAGAGCUGGUGAGGUGAAAACGGAGCUUUCUUGCUGGAGGGAGGCUGAUUUAUGGGUAUGUGAGGAAUCUUGCCAUUCAGAGAUAAGAUAUCUAAGUGCUCUCUUAACAAUGACUGAUGAAGAAGCAGUCAGAACUGCAAGGAGGAGCUCUUUGUUAAGUGGAUCAGGAGCUGUCAGAGGCCUUUGGCAACCCACCCUCUUGAGAUUGGGUCAUCCUCCCCUUGUCCACCUGUGAUGCUCUAUAGAGAUGUCAUAAAUCACAACUACAGCCCAGGAAGAAUUAACAUAAGAUCAAAGGUGUGCGUUGAGUGGUUCUAUGCUGGGAGGUCAUUUGUUCUUCCUUCCUACCUGGAUAGAACUAAAAUAGUCAUCCUUGUGUCAGUGCUGGCAGGGGAGACAAGUGGCCCAGGCACAUGGUUGACUUAGUGAAGUCAUUUUGCAGGGGCAAUAGGAAUAGGAAGAGCAGAAUCCCCCCCGGACCGCCUCCUCCUCCGGGAAGUGACUGAUGAGCCUGGCAGCCUCUGAACAAAUAUUUCCGAUGCAGAGAACUCACUUGUCAGCUCAGAGGAGCCCCGAGAGGAAAUUUCCAAAGCAAAUCUGUCGGAGAUAAUGACACUGCACGAGGAAGCCCUCCUUAGGAGGAACGUCUUUGGAAGACGUGGUGUGUCUGAAAAUACCAUGUGUCUUCCUGUUGAUGAGCUCAAAUUCAGGCAACCGUGGCUGGGUUCUUAACCCACGAGCUGUAGCAGAUGAAGCACGACGAGGAGUGAUUCAGUUUUUUAACCUUCCCUGAUGCUUCCUUGGUCAACCAGAUGUGGUUUUUCUACAUCAGAAACCUCCCUUCAGGCCUGAGACGCCUUGCUGUGCCCUGCCUCGCUGGGAUUACAAAGCAGGGAUUUUCUGUGCAUCUGAAUGGUUGUGUAAUUGCCUAAGAGAGUGAAACCCCAUCUCAGCUGAAACCUCUUAGCUCCGCUGCUGAGAUAAAAAGCAAUUAACAGUAACCGUAACCAGAAACAUUUUUAGUGUGAGGACGGGCAGAGAAUGGCAAAUAGAUACAUCAACAAAGCUGUUUUUUCCUCGUACUUUGCUGUUUGCAAUCAAUGGGUCAUUAAUUUUUAUGUGGCUACCAUGUAUUUAUAAGCAGUUUGGGAAUCUGGAACUUAUUACAUAUGACAGUGGCUUUGAUUAUGUUGGCUGCUCUGCGCUACCCGUGAUCCUUUGGUUUCAAAGUCACCCCAAAGGACACAGCAGGCAGAACUGUGCACUGGGGAAGCCCUGGUAUCCAAAAGCAACGUGCCUGCAGGCUGUGCCCUGCUGGCUGGAUCUCUCAAAUGUGUUUCAUCCAAAUGGGGCUGGAUUUGUGCAGCCAUUGCCCCUUCUGAUGGCUCAUUGGCAUGCGUGCUUAGUAGAUGUUAUGCAGCUCGUUCUUCUAAGUAAGCGAUAUUUUAUCCUGUCAGAUAUGAAAUUGGCUCAGGUCAGAAGCUUCGCGCUGAGCUAGACAGUCCUUGUGGUUUUCACUAAUUAAAUCUAGGGCAACCAACCAGCAGAUUCUUCAGCUGAGCAAGAGUGACCAUUUUGACUUCUUUUCUAGAGGUUUUCUGAUUCAUUACCUCGUGUUUCAGUUCUCUGAGUAGGAAAAAAAGCUCUAAAGGUUGUUGGAUAACCUGAAUUUCACUCGGUGAGUGGAUUAUUUUACAUCAAGUAAGGUUUUCUUUCCACGCAGUCACAGAGGCAUCUGUAUAGGACAUGAGUGUAAAAUAAUGCAAAGAAUGCUGGUUGGAUUCAUGUAAGUGAUGCCUUUUUAAUCUGAAGAACUGCAGAGUUCCCAGUUAGCAAAUAUGGAGAUGUCAAGAACGUCGCUGCACUCAGCGCCAGAGCAGUGCUUCACUUAUCAGGUAUUUUUAAGCAAUCUCUCCUGGUUUGUUUUGUAUUAUGUGUCUCCAGAUAAUCUAUCAGCGAUUACCUGUCUCGUUUUUAUUAUGUUCUGUUCCCUUGUGCACUCAUUUAGGACUUCAUUUGCUCCCAUCUUGCAGACAGUUUUAAAUGCUAGGCUUGCUUUCCCACCAUAUGGAUAAUUGAUGCCUUUAUUUCAGGUAAGUGUUUUGUUCUAUCUCCCAGGUAUAAGGAGGUGAUAUUGAGUUUGCUAUACCUGGAGUUGGGAUGGCAGCCAGAUACAUUGCAGGCCUUCAGCCCCCUCACAGCUCCAUAUAGAGAAGGGUGACAAACAUUCUGAGUUUGCUCGGAAAUUGUUAUGAAAGGAGAUCCUGGGUUAUACAUCAUGAUUGUUCCUGCCGUGGAAGUGUUUCAGCUCAGAAGCUCCUGGCUUCUUAGGGGUGAGACCCCGGACUCCAUCCACAUCACAACAGAUGGUUAAGGUAUAUUUGCAAAGCCACUCCAGUACUGAUUUUUCUUAGGGAAUCUUAUUUACUUACUGUGUUCCUUUAUUGCACAAGAAAGCUGGAGUCAUUUUUCUCUCCUAAUGUGUUUCAGAGGCAAUCUGACAUUUUCUAAUGGCUCUCAGGUAUGCAUAAUUCACCCUGUUCCUCGUCUGCAUUUUCCAAAAUAACACUGGAAAAAUUACUUGGGCUCCUGCUUUUUAUGGACAGUCAUUACUCUCACUUUUUUUCCAGGUUGACCUAUAAAUGUCCAUAUGCUGCAGGAUAUUUGCAGUAGGU